AGUGAACGCUGGCGGUAGGCCUAACACAUGCAAGUCGAACGGCAGCACAGUAAGAGCUUGCUCUUACGGGUGGCGAGUGGCGGACGGGUGAGGAAUACAUCGGAAUCUACUUUUUCGUGGGGGAUAACGUAGGGAAACUUACGCUAAUACCGCAUACGACCUACGGGUGAAAGCAGGGGAUCUUCGGACCUUGCGCGAUUAAAUGAGCCGAUGUCGGAUUAGCUAGUUGGCGGGGUAAAGGCCCACCAAGGCGACGAUCCGUAGCUGGUCUGAGAGGAUGAUCAGCCACACUGGAACUGAGACACGGUCCAGACUCCUACGGGAGGCAGCAGUGGGGAAUAUUGGACAAUGGGCGCAAGCCUGAUCCAGCCAUACCGCGUGGGUGAAGAAGGCCUUCGGGUUGUAAAGCCCUUUUGUUGGGAAAGAAAAGCAGCAGGUUAAUACCCCGCUGUUCUGACGGUACCCAAAGAAUAAGUACCGGCUAACUUCGUG
rnacentral:rRNA from 1 species